GAUGAACGCUGGCGGCGUGCCUAAUACAUGCAGGUCGAGCGAACAGACGAGGAGCUUGCUCCUCUGACGUUAGCGGCGGACGGGUGAGUAACACGUGGAUAACCUACCUAUAAGACUGGGAUAACUUCGGGAAACCGGAGCUAAUACCGGAUAAUAUAUUGAACCGCAUGGUUCAAUAGUGAAAGACGGUUUUGCUGUCACUUAUAGAUGGAUCCGCGCCGCAUUAGCUAGUUGGUAAGGUAACGGCUUACCAAGGCAACGAUGCGUAGCCGACCUGAGAGGGUGAUCGGCCACACUGGAACUGAGACACGGUCCAGACUCCUACGGGAGGCAGCAGUAGGGAAUCUUCCGCAAAGGGCGAAAGCCUGACGGAGCAACGCCGCGUGAGUGAUGAAGGUCUUCGGAUCGUAAAACUCUGUUAUUAGGGAAGAACAAAUGUGUAAGUAACUAUGCACGUCUUGACGGUACCUAAUCAGAAAGCCACGGCUAACUACGUG
rnacentral:rRNA from 1 species